rnacentral:lncRNA from 1 species
GGGGGAGCUGGCUGUGUAGCAGUCUGCUUAGUGAUUGGCAACAUUGUGUGCGAGGGUAGGUUUGACAGGCGACAGGCACAACAGGGCUGAAAUGAACUGUUAGGUCAGCUGCAGCCUGUGUUGUGACUCUGGUCAUGUCUUGGCCAAUCAGUUGUCAGCACAGCAUCUAUGAACAUUGUCUCAGGACAUGAGAUCACUCAGCAGAUGCUGGGUGAGAAAAGUUGGAGGAGCAGAGAACUUGGUGACUGCUUAGUCCAGAAGCCGAGGCACCUGCAGGCCCGUUGGAGAGUCCGUGGUGUCCCGAAGGCGCUCAUUCUUCUCAUGUCACCUUCAGAUCUGCACGGGCCAGAGUUGACUUUAUGCCUACUCCAUGUGACCUCAGAGCCUCCAAGACUUGGCUUCUUCAUCUGGAACAUGGUGGUGGUGACCACAAGGGUCUCUUAUGCCCAUCAAAGUCUCAUGAGACAUCCGAGGGAGAUCGAUUAAACACAGAGGAGCCCCAGUCAGAGCUUCGAUGAUACCACUUCAGUCAUUCCAGGGAGGAGACUCUGCUAACUCUUGGCAGAGAAGAAAACAGCAGGGCACACUAGUGCAGAAGGAACUAAGACAGGUCCAUGGGUAGACAGGGUCUGUCUCUCAACAGAGCCAGGAAUGUUACCCCUGCAGCCCUGGACCUUACAAAUGCCCUCUUCUCCCUCUCCUAUCACAGAUCACUCAGAGGCUGAGUCCCCAGGACACAUGCAGCCUACACACAGACUAACACUAGAAGAGUCAUUGUGCAUGAAGCAGAGUCUGUAGGAGAGACCUAACCACUCAGCAGGAAAAACACCAAAUUU